ACAUGUCUGUGAUGCUACUUUCUUUACCUACAUUGUUUGAGUUUCCUCUGAGAACAUUAAAUCAAACUGAGACAUGU